rnacentral:rRNA from 1 species
AGGAGCUUGCUCCUCUGACGUUAGCGGCGGACGGGUGAGUAACACGUGGAUAACCUACCUAUAAGACUGGGAUAACUUCGGGAAACCGGAGCUAAUACCGGAUAAUAUAUUGAACCGCAUGGUUCAAUAGUGAAAGACGGUUUUGCUGUCACUUAUAGAUGGAUCCGCGCCGCAUUAGCUAGUUGGUAAGGUAACGGCUUACCAAGGCAACGAUGCGUAGCCGACCUGAGAGGGUGAUCGGCCACACUGGAACUGAGACACGGUCCAGACUCCUACGGGAGGCAGCAGUAGGGAAUCUUCCGCAAUGGGCGAAAGCCUGACGGAGCAACGCCGCGUGAGUGAUGAAGGUCUUCGGAUCGUAAAACUCUGUUAUUAGGGAAGAACAAAUGUGUAAGUAACUAUGCACGUCUUGACGGUACCUAAUCAGAAAGCCACGGCUAACUACGUGCCAGCAGCCGCGGUAAUACGUAGGUGGCAAGCGUUAUCCGGAAUUAUUGGGCGUAAAGCGCGCGUAGGCGGUUUUUUAAGUCUGAUGUGAAAGCCCACGGCUCAACCGUGGAGGGUCAUUGGAAACUGGAAAACUUGAGUGCAGAAGAGGAAAGUGGAAUUCCAUGUGUAGCGGCGAAAUGCGCAGAGAUAUGGAGGAACACCAGUGGCGAAGGCGACUUUCUGGUCUGUAACUGACGCUGAUGUGCGAAAGCGUGGGGAUCAAACAGGAUUAGAUACCCUGGUAGUCCACGCCGUAAACGAUGAGUGCUAAGUGUUAGGGGGUUUCCGCCCCUUAGUGCUGCAGCUAACGCAUUAAGCACUCCGCCUGGGGAGUACGACCG